rnacentral:rRNA from 1 species
CCUACGGGUGGCUGCAGUGGGGAAUAUUGGGCAAUGGGCGCAAGCCUGACCCAGCAACGCCGCGUGAAGGAUGAAGGUUUUCGGAUUGUCAACUUCUGUCGCGAGGGACGAAGAAUGACGAUACCGUGUAAGAAAGCCCCGGCUAACUACGUGCCAGCAGCCGCGGCAAUACGUAGGGGGCAAGCGUUGUCCGGAAUGACUGGGCGUAAAGGGAGGGUAGGAGGCUUUGUACGUUAGAUGUGAAAUCCUACGGCUUAACCGUAGAACUGCAUCUAAAACUGUGAGGCUGGAGUGCAUGAGAGGUGAGUGGAAUUCCUGGUGUAGCGGUGGAAUGCGUAGAUAUUAGGAGGAACACCAGCGGCGAAGGCGACUCACUGGACUGUAACUGACGCUGAGGCUCGAAAGCGUGGGGAGCAAACAGGAUUAGAGACCCCUGUAGUC